GCGACAGAACUCCUAGCAGGCGCAUAAGUUCGCGGACUCGGAGCUCCCCGUCAUCUUCCCCUCCGACUUCGCCAUGGACAGCACCGCCCCGAACUCUUCUUCCGCCGCCGCCGUCGCCGCCGCGGCCGCGGCCGCUUCCGCUUCCGGUAACGGCGUACAAGGGGGAACGGGUGGGGACCGUCCCGAGGACCCGUCGAAGCAGAACCUGGCGCAGGUCACGGGCUCGAUCCAGAAGACCCUGGGCCUGCUCCACCAGCUCAACCUCAACGUCUCCUCCUUCAGCUCCGCGUCCCAGCUCCCCCUCCUCCAGCGCCUGAACGCGCUCGUGGCGGAGCUCGACACGAUGCAGAAGCUCGCCGACGGGUGCAACAUCCAGGUGCCCAUGGAGGUCGUCAAUUUGAUUGAUGACGGGAAGAACCCCGAUGAGUUCACCAGGGACGUGCUCAACAGCUGCAUCGCCAAGAACCAGAUCACCAAGGGCAAGACCGAUGCUUUCAAGAGCCUGAGGAAGCAUCUUCUUGAGGAGCUGGAAGAAGCUUUUCCAGAUGACGUUGAAGCGUACAGACAGAUACGUGCUACCUCUGCUGCUGAGUCAAAGAGGUUGGCUCAGUCCCAAAGUGCUUUGCCUAAUGGAGAUGCCAAAGUGAAACCUGAGCAUUGACAGAAUAACCCAAGUGCAAAGAGCAAGAUCUUGCUUUAUAUUUCCUAUAGUUUUUCUUAGGAAGGCUUUGUGAACCAACAACUGAUAUAACCUUUACCACCAUCAAGAAUUUUCGAAGUGCCUGAUGAAGUUCACUCAUCUGAUAAAACUGGACGUGUCUGUAAGUAUUCUCAGUAACUCAAGAGCCAGAAAUGGGAUUCUUCAUUUAGUGAGUCUUCUAGAGGUGGUGCCCCUCUUCUGCAAACUCGAGCUAAAUUUCCAGGUUUAAGGGUUUAUCGUUCUACAAGAAGUCAGCUUGAGGUGGUAUUGUGCAUCCUUGACAACUCGGUGGCUCUGAGGCGGAUGUUCAUAGGACCAAGGGUGACGACACUUGAUUGUGUCUUUGGACACUGGGCAAAGACACUGGGCGGAGUUUGUAUCUUGAUAUAAGAAGAGGCAGGGAAUGAGCCUUGGACGUUUUUUUCGCCCCAGGACUACCCCGGUGUGCAGAUUGAGAUCUUCUGAGGGACCUUGGGGGUUUGUUUAGUUUAAGGUGAUGUAUGCCUGAAGGGCUACUAUGGAGGUGGCGCCUGUCAAUAGGCAAGUGCGAGUUCCGGUAUACAACAUUUGUUGCUUCUUUGUUUAAGAAAAAAACAUCAUAUUUAUUUA